UAUAGAGNUUUCUAAACUCCCAACCCAUGUGAACUUACCAUUGUUGCCUCGGCAGAAGCUGCUCGGCGCGCCUUACCUUGGAACGGCCUACCCUGUAGCGCCUUACCCUGGAACGGCUUACCCUGCAACGGCUGCCGGUGGACUACCAAACUCUUGUUAUUUUAUGGUUAUCUGAGCGUCUUAUUUUAAUAAGUCAAAACUUUCAACAACGGAUCUCUUGGUUCUGGCAUCGAUGAAGAACGCAGCGAAAUGCGAUAAGUAAUGUGAAUUGCAGAAUUCAGUGAAUCAUCGAAUCUUUGAACGCACAUUGCGCCCAUUAGUAUUCUAGUGGGCAUGCCUGUUCGAGCGUCAUUUCAACCCUUAAGCCUAGCUUAGUGUUGGGAGCCUACUGCUUUUGCUAGCUGUAGCUCCUGAAAUACAACGGCGGAUCUGCGAUAUCCUCUGAGCGUAGUAAUUUUUAUCUCGCUUUUGACUGGAGUUGCAGCGUCUUUAGCCGCUAAACCCCCCAAUUUUUAAUGGUUGACCUCGGAUCAGGUAGGAAUACCCGCUGAACUUAAGCAUAUCAAUAAGCGGAGGAAAAGAAACCAACAGGGAUUGCCUUAGUAACGGCGAGUGAAGCGGCAACAGCUCAAAUUUGAAAUCUGGCCCUCGGGUCCGAAUUGUAAUUUGUAGAGGAUGAUUUUGGUGCGGUAUCUUCCGAGUUCCUUGGAACAGGACGCCUUAGAGGGUGAGAGCCCCGUACGGUUGAAUGCCUAGCCUCUGUAAAUCUCCUUCGACGAGUCGAGUAGUUUGGGAAUGCUGCUCUAAAUGGGAGGUAAAUUUCUUCUAAAGCUAAAUAUU
rnacentral:rRNA from 1 species